ACGGUUCCGGUUCACGUCACUUAUGCGCCGAGGCGCGGACGACCCGGCGACC
rnacentral:ncRNA from 1 species